rnacentral:rRNA from 1 species
AUUGAACGCUGGCGGCAUGCCUUACACACGCAAGUCGAACGGCAGCACGGGAGCAAUCCUGGUGGCGAGUGGCGAACGGGUGAGUAAUAUAUCGGAACGUGCCCAGUCGUGGGGGAUAACGCAGCGAAAGCUGUGCUAAUACCGCAUACGAUCUCUAGAUGAAAGCGGGGGACCGUAAGGCCUCGCGCGAUUGGAGCGGCCGAUAUCAGAUUAGCUAGUUGGUGGGGUAAAGGCCCACCAAGGCGACGAUCUGUAGCUGGUCUGAGAGGACGACCAGCCACACUGGAACUGAGACACGGUCCAGACUCCUACGGGAGGCAGCAGUGGGGAAUUUUGGACAAUGGGCGCAAGCCUGAUCCAGCAAUGCCGCGUGCAGGAUGAAGGCCUUCGGGUUGUAAACUGCUUUUGUACGGAACGAAACGGCGAGCUCUAAUAAAGUUUGCUAAUGACGGUACUGUAUGAAUAAGCACCGGCUAACUCCGUGCCAGCCGCCGCGGUAA